AGCUUCGGCAAUCAGAUCCCGGCCUCUGUUAACUAAUGAGAACAGGGCCUCUGAAUGGCUGACGCUCAUCAAGACACCAGCCCCGAGGAGGGCGAGAACCGUGGGGUGGAGAGUCAGAGGCCUGCACUAGCCUGCCUGGUUGCAGUGGGACCAGCUCUGCUCUUGGAGUUCAGAAGAUCCGGACCUGAGUCAGUUGGGUGACAUUGGGCAAGCCCCUUAACCAC
rnacentral:lncRNA from 1 species